GCUGGAGGAGCUCAUAAAGUCAGACAACAUCAAUGGAGGGAAAUGAACAGAUAACCUUUCGAGCCAAGACCCUUCAACAACACCAGAAAGAGUGGGGUCAGAACCAGAAUAAAAGAGGAGGAGGGGGAGCCGACAGAGUACCCCACUGCUUCUUGGAGACACAAAGACUUCAAGUGCUGGCAGCUGGAACAACAGUCUGCUGGAGGAACUCAGUGGUGAAACAGCAUCUGUGGAAAGAAAGAUAUGCAGGAUUUUGACUCGAAACACUCUCAACUCCUUUGUUCCCGUGAAUGCUUCUCCACCUGAUUUGCUGAGUAUGUCCACAGGAAAAAGGAAUUUCCGGGUUGUAUGCAGUGACAUGAAAUGAAAACUCCUUAGAAUUAUGGGUACAACUCUUGCCUGCUGAAGAAGCUGCAGAUGAUGGAAAUCAGAAGACUGCAAUGCUGGAAAACUGAAAUAAAUGAGGAAAGUGCUAGAAGAACUCUCUUGGCCAGUCAGCAUCUGUGGAAAGUGAAACCUACAAAGGAUCUUUGUGUGGAAACGUCAUCUCUUUGCACAAGGAGUA